UACGUAGGUGGCAAGCGUUGUCCGGAAUUACUGGGUGUAAAGGGAGCGUAGGCGGGAAGACAAGUUGAAUGUUAAAACUAUGGGCUCAACUCAUAGUUGCGUUCAAAACUGCCUUUCUUGAGUGAAGUAGAGGUAAGCGGAAUUCCUAGUGUAGCGGUGAAAUGCGUAAAUAUUAGGAGGAACACCAGUGGCGAAGGCGGCUUACUGGGCUUUAACUGACGCUGAGGCUCGAAAGCGUGGGUAGCAAACAGG
rnacentral:rRNA from 1 species